rnacentral:rRNA from 1 species
GCGCGAAAACUUUACGAUGCUGGCAACAGCGAUAAGGGAACCUCGAGUGCCAGGUUACAAAUCUGGCUGUCGAGAUGCCUAAAAAGCAUUUCAUAGCAAGGGCCGGGCAAGACCGGUGCCAGCCGCCGCGGUAACACCGGCGGCUCGAGUGGUAACCGUUAUUAUUGGGUCUAAAGGGUCUGUAGCCGGCCGGAUAAGUCUCUUGAGAAAUCUGGCAGCUUAACUGUCAGGCUUUCAGGAGAUACUGUCUGGCUCGAGGCCGGGAGAGGUGAGAGGUACUUCAGGGGUAGGGGUGAAAUCUUGUAAUCCUUGAAGGACCACCAGUGGCGAAGGCGUCUCACCAGAACGGACCUGACGGCAAGGGACGAAAGCUAGGGGCACGAA